GGAAAGUUUUUUCGGUUGGGGAUGGGCUCGCGGCCUNUUCAGUUUGUUGGUGAGGUAAUGGCUCACCAAGACGACGACGGGUAGCCGGCCUGAGAGGGCGACCGGCCACACUGGGACUGAGACACGGCCCAGACUCCUACGGGAGGCAGCAGUGGGGAAUAUUGCACAAUGGGGGAAACCCUGAUGCAGCGACGCAGCGUGCGGGAUGACGGCCUUCGGGUUGUAAACCGCUUUCAGCAGGGAAGAAGCCCCUUGGGGUGACGGUACCUGCAGAAGAAGUACCGGCUAACUACGUGCCAGCAGCCGCGGUAAUACGUAGGGUACAAGCGUUGUCCGGAAUUAUUGGGCGUAAAGAGCUCGUAGGUGGUUGGUCACGUCUGCUGUGGAAACGCAACGCCUAACGUUGCGCGUGCAGUGGGUACGGGCUGACUAGAGUGCAGUAGGGGAGUCUGGAAUUCCUGGUGUAGCGGUGAAAUGCGCAGAUAUCAGGAGGAACACCGGUGGCGAAGGCGGGACUCUGGGCUGUAACUGACACUGAGGAGCGAAAGCAUGGGGAGCGAACAGGAUUAGAUACCCUGGUAGUCCAUGCCGUAAACGUUGGGCACUAGGUGUGGGGGACAUUCCACGUUCUCCGCGCCGUAGCUAACGCAUUAAGUGCCCCGCCUGGGGAGUACGGUCGCAAGGCUAAAACUCAAAGGAAUUGACGGGGGCCCGCACAAGCGGCGGAGCAUGCGGAUUAAUUCGAUGCAACGCGAAGAACCUUACCAAGGCUUGACAUACACCAGACCGUUCUGGAAACAGUUCCUCCCCUUUGGGGUUGGUGUACAGGUGGUGCAUGGUUGUCGUCAGCUCGUGUCGUGAGAUGUUGGGUUAAGUCCCGCAACGAGCGCAACCCUCGUUCUAUGUUGCCAGCACGUGAUGGUGGGAACUCAUAGGAGACUGCCGGGGUCAACUCGGAGGAAGGUGGGGAUGACGUCAAAUCAUCAUGCCCUUUAUGUCUUGGGCUUCACGCAUGCUACAAUGGCUGGUACAGAGAGAUGCGAGACCGCGAGGUUUUAGCGAAUCCCUUAAAGCCAGUCUCAGUUCGGAUCGUAGUCUGCAAUUCGACUACGGAAGUCGGAGUCGCUAGUAAUCGCAGAUCA
rnacentral:rRNA from 1 species